CCCAGACUCCUACGGGAGGCAGCAGUGGGGGAUAUUGCACAAUGGGGGGAACCCUGAUGCAGCGACGCCGCGUGGGUGAAGGAGUGCUUCGGCAUGUAAAGCCCUAUCGGCAGGGAAGAAGCAAGACGGUACCUGACUAAGAAGCCCCGGCUAACUACGUGCCAGCAGCCGCGGUAAUACGUAGGGAGCGAGCGUUGUCCGGAAUUACUGGGUGUAAAGGGAGCGUAGGCGGGACUGCAAGUUGGGUGUCAAAUCUACCGGCUCAACCGGUAGCCGCACUCAAAACUGCAGUUCUUGAGUGAAGUAGAGGCAGGCGGAAUUCCUAGUGUAGCGGUGAAAUGCGUAGAUAUUAGGAGGAACACCAGUGGCGAAGGCGGCCUGCUGGGCUUUUACUGACGCUGAGGCUCGAAAGUGUGGGGAGCAAACAGGAUUAGAUACCCCAGUACUA
rnacentral:rRNA from 1 species